GUGUGCGAGUCAUUGGGUAUAUUGUUGAAACCUAAGGGCGCAAUUAAAAUAACUAUUUUAUGGGAUUACAAGUGAAUUAAAUUUCAUUUCUUCAUCCCGGGGCGUUCUAUACGAACAUGGUUCAAGCAAUUGAAUCCUCUGUUCAAGAGCGUACCUUGAGCAUACAUGCUGUGACCCGAAAGAUGGUGAACUAUACCUGAUCAGAUCGAAGCCAGGAGAAAUUCUGGUGGAGGAUCGAAACAGUUCUGACGUGCAAAUCGAUUGUCAGAAUUGGGUAUAGGGGCGAAAGACCAAUCGAACCAUCUAGUAGCUGGUUCCCUCCGAAGUUUCCCUCAGGAUAGCUGGCGCAAAGAAUUAUAUUGUAUAUAAUCUUAUCUGGUAAAGCGAAUGAUUAGAGGCCUUGGGGCCGAAACGACCUCAACCUAUUCUCAAACUUUAAAUGGGUAAGAACCUCAUCUUUCUUGAUCUGAAGAUAUUGGGGUUUAGAUAUAUUGUGCCCAGUGGGCCACUUUUGGUAAGCAGAACUGGCGCUGUGGGAUGAACCAAACAUGAUGUUACGGCGCCUAAAUUAAUGACUCAUAUUGAUACCAUGAAAGGCGUUGGUUGCUUAAAACAGCAGGACGGUGGACAUGGAAGUCGUAAUCCGCUAAGGAGUGUGUAACAACUCACCUGCCGAAGCAACUAGCCCUUAAAAUGGAUGGCGCUCAAGUCAUAUGCCUAUACAUCAUCGCUAGAAUAAAAAUUGUUGGCCUUUUAGGUCAUCAUUGUGAAAUUCUAGUGAGUAGGAGGGUACAAUGGUGUGCGCAGAAGUGUUUGGCGUGAGCCUGCAUGAAGCCGCCAUUGGCACAGAUCUUGGUGGUAGUAGCAAAUAAUCGAAUGAGAUCUUGGAGGACUGAAGUGGAGAAGGGUUUCGUGUGAACAGUGGUUGAUCACGAGUUAGUCGGUCCUAAGCUUUAUGCGAAAGCUGUUUAAUUUAUGUUACACACAAAAUUUUUGUUGUACAUAAUUCAAUAAAAGCGAAAGGGAAUACGGUUCCAAUUCCGUAACCUGUUGAGUAUACGUUUGUUUAUUAAAAAUGGGUCUUAUUACACUCAUCCUGGCAACAGGAACGACCA
rnacentral:rRNA from 1 species